rnacentral:rRNA from 1 species
UACAGAGGUCCCAAGCGUUACUGAGAAUCACUGGGUUUAAAGGGUGCGUAGGUGGCGCGUUAAGUCAGUUGUGAAAUCCCCGGGCUCAACCCGGGAACUGCUUCUGAUACUGGCGUGCUUGAGGCCAGUAGGGGUCACUAGAACUGACGGUGGAGCGGUGAAAUGCAUUGAGAUCGGAAAGAACACCAACGGCGAAAGCACUCUGCUGGGCCGACACUGACACUGAGAGACGAAAGCUAGGGGAGCAAAUGGG